rnacentral:rRNA from 1 species
AUUGAACGCUAGCGGGAUGCUUUACACAUGCAAGUCGAGCGGCAGCGCGGACUUCGGUCUGGCGGCGAGUGGCGAACGGGUGAGUAAUGUAUCGGAACGUGCCCAGUAGCGGGGGAUAGCUACGCGAAAGCGUAGCUAAUACCGCAUACGCCCUACGGGGGAAAGCAGAGGAUCGUAAGACCUUGCACUAUUGGAGCGGCCGAUAUCGGAUUAGCUAGUUGGUGAGGUAACGGCUCACCAAGGCGACGAUCCGUAGCUGGUUUGAGAGGACGACCAGCCACACUGGGACUGAGACACGGCCCAGACUCCUACGGGAGGCAGCAGUGGGGAAUUUUGGACAAUGGGGGCAACCCUGAUCCAGCCAUCCCGCGUGUGCGAUGAGGGCCUUCGGGUUGUAAAGCACUUUUGGCAGGAAAGAAACGUCGCGGGCUAAUACCCCGUGGAACUGACGGUACCUGCAGAAUAAGCACCGGCUAACUACGUG